rnacentral:rRNA from 1 species
GACGAACGCUGGCGGCGUGCUUAACACAUGAAAGUCGAACGAAGUGGCGAACGGGUGUGUAACACGUGGGUAACCUGCCCUCCUUUUUGGGAUAAGCCUUGGAAACGGGGGCUAAUACCGAAUAAAGGGGGAUGGGCUCGCGGCCUAUGCGCUUGUUGGUGGGGGAAUUGCCUAACAAGGCGUAGACGGGUAGCUGGCCUGCGAGGGGGCACGGCCACAUUGAGACGGGGAAAAGGCCCAGACUACGACGAGAGGAGGCAGUGGGGGAAAUUGCACAAUGGGCGAAGGACGAAUGCAGCGACGGCGAGUGGGGGAUGAAGGCUUGCGGGUUGUAAUCCUCGGUCGCUAUCGAACAGGUAGGUGGCGAAGAAGCGACGGCUAACUACGUGCCAGCAGCCGCGGUAAUUC